ACUCAUUAGUGAGCGGCAAAUGCAAACAUAGGAAAGUGAUAAUGGGUUCUAGUGGCGGCUGCGGACUCUUGACUGGAGCUGCAACUUAAACCCCAGGGAAUGGCCAACUUGUAUUGUAGGUUUUGUACAGGUUGUAACCUCUACCCUAGGUUUUGGCCAGUUCAUUGUGUCGCUGGAUGUUUGUAGGGGGUGAAGGGAUCACUGUGCCUCUGAAUUUCUGUGGGGUACAGGGUGAGUUACUGUGCCUCUGGCAGCCAUACCCAAGCUCCUCUCUCUGCAACCUCUCAGUUGGUCUGGUUCCCUUAUUCAGCUAUUGACCAUCUCCAGCAGGCUCUGGGAGAGAAUGAAAGUAACCGGCACAAUCAGGCUAUUCUGGGCAAACUCCAGAGGAAGUUGGAUGAAUAUUUUGAGAAGCUGAAGAAAGCCACCGACGACUACAAAAAGUUAGUGCAGAAGCCGCUACGGGCGUAAAGCUGCUCAGUUAUAUACAGAUGGACAAAAAAAAUAAACUAUUUUGUAUGAUGUGUGUCCAUUAUCAGAUCCCAACCCCCUGCCACAUGUCCAACUGAAUAUAUAGAUCUAUACACUGUG